CCUACGGGAGGCUGCAGUGAGGAAUAUUGGUCAAUGGACGAGAGUCUGAACCAGCCAAGUAGCGUGAAGGAUGACUGCCCUAUGGGUUGUAAACUUCUUUUAUAUGGGAAUAAAAUGUUCCACGUGUGGGAUUUUGUAUGUACCAUAUGAAUAAGGAUCGGCUAACUCCGUGCCAGCAGCCGCGGUAAUACGGAGGAUCCGAGCGUUAUCCGGAUUGAUUGGGGUUAAAGGGAGCGUAGGUGGAUGGUUAAGUCAGUUGUGAAAGUUUGCGGUUCAACCGUAAAAUUGCAGUUGAAACUGGCAGUCUUGAGUACAGUAGAGGUGGGCGGAAUUCGUGGUGUAGCGGUGAAAUGCUUAGAUAUCACGAAGAACUCCGAUUGCGAAGGCAGCUCACUGGACUGCAACUGACACUGAGGCUCGAAAGUGUGGGUAUCAAACAGGAUUAGAUACCCGUGUAGUC
rnacentral:rRNA from 1 species